rnacentral:tRNA from 1 species
CGGGCCCGGCGGGCGAGGCCUCGCCGCCGGCGGCGUCGCCGGCGGCGCCGGAGGGGCCGGCGGGACCGGCGGGCUGUUCGGCGCCGGCGGGGCCGG